rnacentral:lncRNA from 1 species
UUUUAUUAGGGUGAUUUUUUUUUCUCUCUUUCUUUCCUUCUUUCUUGUCAGGGAUACUGUGUUUCCCCUGACAAAGAAAUGACAGUGUUUAUCAGCAGCAGAUGUGCCUCCUUUGGCUGAAUUGCCAACACAUGCAUUUCAUCUUUUCCCUAAGUGUCAGGCUGUAGUUUCCACAGUAGGAUGGCACCCCAUAGAGAGACCUUCAGCUGAGGGGAAAACGCAAAUCUUGUUGUUAAGAGGGGAAAGGGGAAAUCCUGUAAACUAAUUAGCUCAUUUGGCUCAGAUGUCAUUCCUGAUCAAACCACUUAAUGCUGCUUUCAGCAGCAGAUCAGAUGUCUUUUGCAUGAAAUACUAUUCAGCAAGACCAGGUGCCUGGAGCUUUGGUCCCUGACUAGCAGUGACCUUAAAGGGACUGCCCAGAACUUCCCAGGGUCCAAACCUCUUAGCUCUGGAGAACGUUUCAUGUGUGAUGAAGACUUCAUUCUAAAUACCAUCUGAUACGCCAGCUGAGAAGCAUGCAGGAAGAGAAGCCGUACAUUCCUUGUCAUCACACUGGGGAUACUGACUGAGGGCUGACAUACUUCAGCAGCACAUCUGGCCUAUAAUCCACUCCCUUGUCUUCCAAGAGCGGCUGAUUUGGCAAAGUGCUGUGCUCACCACAAGCUUCUGCAGCCAAGUGACUUUGGAACAUGCCCCAAGUAUGGAAUUCCACACAGUCUUGCAGAAGCAAAAGCGGUCUCGAAUUCUUCAGAAAGUCUGAACCUGGGUUGUGCUGCCAAAACCUUUGCGGAAGUUGAAUACAUUUUUCUUUCAGGCUGACAUGGAUUUUCUCAUAACAGUGUGAGUUUUGAAUCAUGUUGAUGAAAUGCAAGCAGCUCAUUAAAUACAGCAACUCUAACUACUCUGAAGAUUUACUGUUCAUUAACAAAUAUUUGAAUGAACUGUAGAUGAGA